rnacentral:rRNA from 1 species
UAGGGAAUCUUCGGCAAUGGGGGAAACCCUGACCGAGCAACGCCGCGUGAGUGAAGAAGGUUUUCGGAUCGUAAAGCUCUGUUGUUAAGGAAGAACGAGUGUGAGAAUGGAAAGUUCAUGCUGUGACGGUACUUAACCAGAAAGGGACGGCUAACUACGUGCCAGCAGCCGCGGUAAUACGUAGGUCCCGAGCGUUGUCCGGAUUUAUUGGGCGUAAAGCGAGCGCAGGCGGUUAGAAAAGUCUGAAGUGAAAGGCAGUGGCUCAACCAUUGUAGGCUUUGGAAACUGUUUAACUUGAGUGCAGAAGGGGAGAGUGGAAUUCCAUGUGUAGCGGUGAAAUGCGUAGAUAUAUGGAGGAACACCGGUGGCGAAAGCGGCUCUCUGGUCUGUAACUGACGCUGAGGCUCGAAAGCGUGGGGAGCGAACAGG